GUGGGGAAUAUUGGACAAUGGGCGAAAGCCUGAUCCAGCCAUGCCGCGUGUGUGAAGAAGGUCUUCGGAUUGUAAAGCACUUUAAGUUGGGAGGAAGGGCAGUAAGUUAAUACCUUGCUGUUUUGACGUUACCGACAGAAUAAGCACCGGCUAACUUCGUGCCAGCAGCCGCGGUAAUACGAAGGGUGCAAGCGUUAAUCGGAAUUACUGGGCGUAAAGCGCGCGUAGGUGGGUUUGUAAGUUGGAGGUGAAAUCCCCGGGCUCAACCUGGGAACUGCCUCCAAAACUGCAUGACUAGAGUACGGUAGAGGGUAGUGGAAUGUCCUGUGUAGCGGUGAAAUGCGUAGAUAUAGGAAGGAACACCAGUGGCGAAGGCGACUACCUGGACUGAUACUGACACUGAGGUGCGAAAGCGUGGGGAGCAAACAGGAUUAGAAACCCUAGUAGUCC
rnacentral:rRNA from 1 species